GACGCGCCUCUGUUACCAUGGUGACCGCGAGCUCGGCGGGGCCUAGGCGAGGCGAGGCGGACACCCGGCGGCGGGCGGGGCUUUGCCGCGGAGGCGGGCGGGGCAGCGUCCCUCCACCUGUAGCUCGGCAGGCAGCUCGCAGCGCGGCGAGUCAGGGGAAAAUGGCAGCAGCAGAGAUGCUCUGGUGUUUUGGUGGAAAGGUGAAGAUCCCAAGUCCUGGAAAGACCCUGGAGUGUUAUGCAAGGUUCACUCUGAGUAAUCACAGAUUAAAUCCCAACAAGGAAGGCUGCUGUUAUGGUUAAAGCACUUGUCUCAGCCUCAGGAGAUCACGCUUCACUUCCCAUCUCUGCCAUGGGUUUUCUGUGUGCCUCAGUUCCCUAUUUGUAACAUAGGGAUAAUACUACUUUCUGUCUUGAUUCCUCAGAUUAUAGACUCUUUCAGGAA